CUACGGGAGGCUGCAGUGGGGAAUCUUAGACAAUGGGGGAAACCCUGAUCUAGCCAUGCCGCGUGAGUGACGAAGGCCUUAGGGCCGUAAAGCUCUUUCGCUGGGGAAGAUAAUGACUGUACCCAGUAAAGAAACCCCGGCUAACUCCGUGCCAGCAGCCGCGGUAAUACGGAGGGGGUUAGCGUUGUUCGGAAUUACUGGGCGUAAAGCGCGCGUAGGCGGACUGGAAAGUUGGGGGUGAAAUCCCGGGGCUCAACCCCGGAACGGCCUCCAAAACUAUCAGUCUAGAGUUCGAGAGAGGUGAGUGGAAUUCCGAGUGUAGAGGUGAAAUUCGUAGAUAUUCGGAGGAACACCAGUGGCGAAGGCGGCUCACUGGCUCGAUACUGACGCUGAGGUGCGAAAGCGUGGGGAGCAAACAGGAUUAGAUACCCUCGUAGUC
rnacentral:rRNA from 1 species